UAACAAACAAGCGCGGAGCACGCUCCAACC
rnacentral:sRNA from 1 species